GACGAAGGGGGCUAGCGUUGUUCGGAAUUACUGGGCGUAAAGCGAGUGUAGGUGGUUGUCGUAGUCAGGUGUGAAAGCCUUGAGCUCAACUCAAGAAAUGCACUUGAUACUGGGCAGCUAGAGGACCGGAGAGGAUAGUGGAAUUCCCAGUGUAGUGGUGAAAUACGUAGAGAUUGGGAAGAACACCAGUGGCGAAGGCGGCUAUCUGGACGGUUUCUGACACUAAGACUCGAAAGCGUGGGGGAGCAAACAGG
rnacentral:rRNA from 1 species